UUCGAAUGACGAUCCAUAGCACUGGGCACCGAGCUAUAAAAUAGCACAUAAUGAGUGACAAGCUUAAAUGUGGGCCUAGAAAACCCACGCUACCGACUUG
rnacentral:snoRNA from 1 species